UGGAUCCAGACUUUGAUCCUGGCUCAGGAUGAACGCUAGCUACAGGCUUAACACAUGCAAGUCGAGGGGCAGCAUAUCGGUAGCUUGCUACUGGUGAUGGCGACCGGCGCACGGGUGAGUAACGCGUAUCCAACCUUCCCAUGACUGGGGAAUAACCUUGCGAAAGUAAGACUAAUACCCCAUGGUUUCCGAGGCGGACAUCCAAUUUGGAAUAAAGAUUCAUCGGUCAUGGAUGGGGAUGCGUCUGAUUAGCUUGUUGGCGGGGUAACAGCCCACCAAGGCGACGAUCAGUAGGGGUUCUGAGAGGAAGGUCCCCCACAUUGGAACUGAGACACGGUCCAAACUCCUACGGGAGGCAGCAGUGAGGAAUAUUGGUCAAUGGACGAGAGUCUGAACCAGCCAAGUAGCGUGCAGGAUGACGGCCCUAUGGGUUGUAAACUGCUUUUAUACGGGAAUAAAGUCAAUCACGUGUGGUUGUUUGUAUGUACCGUAUGAAUAAGGACA
rnacentral:rRNA from 1 species